GCAUUAAGCACUCCGCCUGGGGAGUACGACCGCAAGGUUGAAACUCAAAGGAAUUGACGGGGGCCCGCACAAGCGGUGGAGCAUGUGGUUUAAUUCGAAGCAACGCGAAGAACCUUACCAGGUCUUGACAUCCUCUGACAAUCCUAGAGAUAGGACUUUCCCCUUCGGGGGACAGAGUGACAGGUGGUGCAUGGUUGUCGUCAGCUCGUGUCGUGAGAUGUUGGGUUAAGUCCCGCAACGAGCGCAACCCUUGAUCUUAGUUGCCAGCAUUCAGUUGGGCACUCUAAGGUGACUGCCGGUGACAAACCGGAGGAAGGUGGGGAUGACGUCAAAUCAUCAUGCCCCUUAUGACCUGGGCUACACACGUGCUACAAUGGAUGGUACAAAGGGCUGCAAGACCGCGAGGUUUAGCCAAUCCCAUAAAACCAUUCUCAGUUCGGAUUGUAGGCUGCAACUCGCCUACAUGAAGCCGGAAUCGCUAGUAAUCGCGGAUCAGCAUGCCGCGGUGAAUACGUU
rnacentral:rRNA from 2 species